rnacentral:lncRNA from 1 species
GUCAUCCCUAGCUCUCGGCGCCUACAAGGAAACAUGCAAAGAUACGGUUACGGUUUCCUGACUCGGCGGCUGCUGCCUCUUCUGAUCUUGGUCAUGUCAUUAUUGAUUUAUGGGGUUACCAACGAUCCCAAUAAUCCUGGCGUACAGGGGAGACCUCCUUGCUGUCAAAUUAUCGGAUGUUGUUAAUAGACGCGCUCCUAUGCUCUUUUUAUUUCGACUUUCUAUUUCGCACAAGCGCUCUAGAUGACACGUUUUUUUUAAGUAUUCAACGAGGUGUAGUAAAUAGACAGACCCGGCACCCAAGGACAGAGGGACACCUAUCUACUAUACGCUAGUACCUUUUCCCGUUAAACCUAUUUACCCUAGAUAUAAAUAUACAAAGAGCGACGCACUAUCAAUCAACUUCGUUUAGAUUGUUAAACUAAUAUCUCAAUUACCUAUCGAAUACUCCCUCUGUUCUAAAACAAUAUUUGUUUUAGUUCUUCAUUUUUAUGUCUAUAUUCAACAAAUGAUGAUGAAUCCAUUAGAGAAGCAAAACGAAUUCUAUUUUGAUACAGAGUGAGUAUUAUUUACUAUACACAUGAUGAUUACAUCGACAGAGAGAAGCUUUUUAAAAUUGAAAUAUUUUUGUGAACUAUUUAAGGUCAACAAUGACUCAAGAGAGGUUAAUGGUUUGACGAUUCUAUGUAUCAAAAAGAAGUCGUUGGAUGAGAUUGAUCUCAAUUGUAUAAGCGAUGUCUUUGUAUCAUAAAAUGUAAGCGUACAUCUCCAUGGGG